rnacentral:rRNA from 1 species
AUACGGAGGGUGCAAGCGUUACUCGGAAUCACUGGGCGUAAAGCGCGCGCAGGCGGUCUUUUAAGUUGGAUGUGAAAGCCUACGGCUCAACCGUAGAACUGCAUCCAAAACUAUUAGACUAGAGUGUGGGAGAGGAAGAUGGAAUUAGUUGUGUAGGGGUAAAAUCCGUAGAGGUAACUAGGAAUACCAAAAGCGAAGGCAAUCUUCUGGAACACUACUGACGCUGAGGCGCGAAAGCGUGGGGAGCAAACAGGAUUAGAUACCCGAGUAGUCC